UCAUUCUUUUAACAGAACAGGGUGCACCCAUAGCCGUAGACGCUUAACCGAGACAGUUUAUUAAAUAUUUAAAUUCGUCAUUUGUUUUGUGCAUACGAAGAUAAAAGGGGGUAAAAUAGUUUUGGCAUGGCAUAAUGGAUAUGAAUCUGCAUCGUCAACCCAGUCGACGCCUGUACUAAGGCAGCAGAUUAAUGAAAUUAAGGAUAAUAUAGUGAAAGGCAAAUAUAUGUACAGUGGUUAUUGAAGCUAGAAAAGCAAGGUUUGGGAAAUUUUUGGCAAGGUUGAAAAUAGUGGCAGUUUGGUAAGAGAUUUUGUUGCAUGCAAAAAUUGUAACAGCGUUUUGAAAUUUAUGAAUAGCACGUCUAACCUUGUGAAACAUAAAUGCUAUAAAAAUUUAAAAAACCGUUCGGAUAACCCAAAGAUAUUAGUGGACAACGACACAAAAAAAAUGUUGCUGAUACGUUCACUGAAUGGGUCACUAAAAAUUACAGACCAUUCAAGAUGAUCGAAGAUGCAGGACUGAAAAAAUAUACGGAUCUCUAAUACCUUCAAUUGGAGCUAAGUAUGAGUCGAUGUAGAUACUGAUCAACUAUUACCUCAUCCAACAACGAUAUCCCGAAACAGAGACAAUCUAUACAAUAUAGCCCACGAUUCCUUAAAAUUAGAACUAAGUGAACUUAGUACCUUUGGACUUAACUCAGAUUUAUGGACCGAUAAUUAUUUAAAACAAUCGUUUUUGUCUAUGACUAUUCACUAUAUAAAAAGCGGAAAAAUUGGAAUGAAGCUUAUUGCUUUUCGAUCAAUGGAUUUUGAAUCUUGUAGCAAUGAAAUGGAACGUAUCCCCCAUUUUACUAUAGGAAACGCCUCGGUUUCUUUUUACACGGAUUUCUGAGGAACGUUUCUACGGUGUAAGAAAAGAGUUGGGUGUACUUCCUUGUGUAUUUUUUCUGAUGAUUAAAAUUCAUCAUCUGAUUGAUUGCUAUUUUAUCAAUGCACACAACCAAAUUUACAACAAAUUGGACAACAACCGGCAGAGUUAAACAUAGCCAAAUUUACAGUUCCAACUCAAGAAUGAUGAAACAAGAUUGCGCAAUGGCGAGUUCAAAUUUUGUUCGUUCUGCGCAUCUAAGUCACGGUUGACCAACGUACAAUCAGUUGAUUUUCAGUUUGUUUUUCUUUGCAAUAAGAAGCAAUUUUGUAUUGCAGGCAUACAAAAACAUGAAUAUAAUUAAAAGUUAACAUCAAUAUAAGUGAAUAUUAAUAAAAGAUAUCAAUAUAAGUGAAUAUUUUAUAGUGAACAUUUACCUACAUAUUCAUUUA